ACUCAGCUGCAUCAGUGUCUAUUAUUCAGCAUCAUUAACCGUCAGCGCUCAAGACUCAGAAAUAUCACUUCCUGACAUUCACUAGAUCUUUGUAGAAUUAAUGGAGUUCUGUACCAUAUUAUUGCAAAG